rnacentral:rRNA from 1 species
GUCUCUGGCCAUACCACCCUGAACGCACCCCAUCUCGUCUGAUCUCGGAAGCUAAGCAGGGUCGGGCCUGGUUAGUGCUUGGAUGGGAGAAUCACGACCCUGACGAUC